GAUGCGCCGCCGGCGGCGGCAGAGAAUAGUUUAGUAUAAAAUACCAGCUUUGGGAGUUGGAGAUAGAGGUUUAAGUCCUCUUUUUCUGA
rnacentral:tRNA from 1 species